rnacentral:rRNA from 1 species
AACAAACGCUGGCGGCAUGCUUUACACAUGCAAGUCGAACGGCAGCAUAGGUGCUUGCACCUGAUGGCGAGUGGCGAACGGGUGAGUAAUAUAUCGGAACAUGUCCGGAAGUGGGGGAUAACGUAGCGAAAGUUACGCUAAUACCGCAUAUGCCCUGAGGGGGAAAGGGGGGGAUCGUAAGACCUCUCGCUUUCGGAGUGGCCGAUAUCGGAUUAGCUAGUAGGUGAGGUAAAGGCUCACCUAGGCGACGAUCCGUAGCUAGUCUGAGAGGACGACCAGCCUCACUGGGACUGAGACACGGCCCAGACUCCUACGGGAGGCAGCAGUGGGGAGUUUUGGACAAUGGGCGCAAGCCUGAUCCAGCCAUGCCGCGUGAGUGAAGAAGGCCUUCGGGUUGUAAAGCUCUUUCAGCUGGAAAGAAAUCGUAUCUAUUAAUACUAGGUGCGGAUGACGGUACCAGCAGAAGAAGCACCGGCUAACUACGUGCCAGCAGCCGCAGUAAAAC